ACACGUGGUAUCCUGUCUGAAUAUGGGGGGACCAUCCUCCAAGGCUAAAUACUCCUGACUGACCGAUAGUGAACCAGUACCGUGAGGGAAAGGCGAAAAGAACCCCGGCGAGGGGAGUGAAAAAGAACCUGAAACCGUGUACGUACAAGCAGUGGGAGCACCUUCGGGUGUGACUGCGUACCUUUUGUAUAAUGGGUCAGCGACUUAUAUUCUGUAGC
rnacentral:rRNA from 1 species